rnacentral:rRNA from 1 species
CAGGCCUAACACAUGCAAGUCGAACGGAAAGGCCCUGCUUUUGUGGGGUGCUCGAGUGGCGAACGGGUGAGUAACACGUGAGUAACCUGCCCUUGACUUUGGGAUAACUUCAGGAAACUGGGGCUAAUACCGGAUAGGAGCUCCUGCUGCAUGGUGGGGGUUGGAAAGUUUCGGCGGUUGGGGAUGGACUCGCGGCUUAUCAGCUUGUUGGUGGGGUAGUGGCUUACCAAGGCUUUGACGGGUAGCCGGCCUGAGAGGGUGACCGGCCACAUUGGGACUGAGAUACGGCCCAGACUCCUACGGGAGGCAGCAGUGGGGAAUAUUGCACAAUGGGCGGAAGCCUGAUGCAGCAACGCCGCGUGCGGGAUGACGGCCUUCGGGUUGUAAACCGCUUUCGCCUGUGACGAAGCGUGAGUGACGGUAAUGGGUAAAGAAGCACCGGCUAACUACGUGCCAGCAGCCGCGGUGAUACGUAGGGUGCGAGCGUUGUCCGGAUUUAUUGGGCGUAAAGGGCUCGUAGGUGGUUGAUCGCGUCGGAAGUGUAAUCUUGGGGCUUAACCCUGAGCGUGCUUUCGAUACGGGCUGACUUGAGGAAGGUAGGGGAGAAUGGAAUUCCUGGUGGAGCGGUGGAAUGCGCAGAUAUCAGGAGGAACACCAGUGGCGAAGGCGGUUCUCUGGGCCUUUCCUGACGCUGAGGAGCGAAAGCGUGGGGAGCGAACAGGCUUAGAUACCCUGGUAGUCCACGCUGUA